rnacentral:rRNA from 1 species
CCUUUAGGUCUGACACAACCUACCGAAAGGUAGGCUAAUAUCAGAUGAUGCAGCGGCUCGACAUCGAGACAGUUGUUAAAUCUUCGGAGCCUAAAGAUGAGCCUGCGUCUGAUUAGGUAGUUGGCGGGGUAAAAGCCCACCAAGCCUGCGAUCAGUAGCUGGUCUGAGAGGAUGAUCAGCCACACUGGAACUGAGACACGGUCCAG